AGAGUCUUGUAGAGGGGGGUAGAAUUCCAGGUGUAGCGGUGAACUGUGUAGAGAUUAGGAGGAAUACCGGUGGCCAAGGCGGCCCCCUGGACAAAGACUGACGAUCAGGUGUGAUAGCGUGGAGAGCAAACAGGAUUAGAUACCAGGGUAGUUCAUGGUGUAAACGAUGUAGAUUUGGAGGUUGUGCCCGUGAGGCAUGGCUUCGGGAGUUAACGAAUUAAAUAGACCGCCUGGGGAGUACGGCCGCAAGGUUAAAACUCAAUUGAAUUGACGGGGGCCCGCACGAGCGGUGGAGCAUGUGGUUUAUUUAGUUGCAACGCGAAGAACCUUCCUUAGUCUUGACAUCCACAGAACUUAGCAGAGAUGAUUUGGUGCCUUCGUGAACUGUGAGACAGGUGCUGCAUGGCUGUUGUCAGCUUGUGUUGUGAAAUGUUGGGUUAAGUCCCGCAACGAGCGCAACCCUUAUCCUUUGUUGCCAGCGGUCCGGCCGGGAACUCAAAGGAGACUGCCAGUGAUAAACUGGAGGAAGGUGGGGAUGACGUCAAGUCAUCAUGGCCCUUACGACCAGGGCUACACACGUGAUACAAUGGCAUAUACAAAGAGAAGCGACCUCGCGAGAGCAAGCGGAC
rnacentral:rRNA from 2 species